rnacentral:rRNA from 1 species
UUCGAGUGGCGAACGGGUGAGUAACACGUGGGUGAUCUGCCCUGCACUUCGGGAUAAGCUUGGGAAACUGGGUCUAAUACCGGAUAGGAGCCAUCUUUAGUGUGGUGGUUGGAAAGUUUUUUCGGUGUAGGAUGAGCUCGCGGCCUAUCAGCUUGUUGGUGGGGUAAUGGCCUACCAAGGCGGCGACGGGUAGCCGGCCUGAGAGGGUGUACGGCCACAUUGGGACUGAGAUACGGCCCAG